GCCUUCGUAACUCAAUGGAUUAGAGUAACUCCGUCCUAAGGAGAAAAUGUAGGUUCGAUUCCUACCGAAGGCA
rnacentral:tRNA from 1 species